rnacentral:rRNA from 1 species
UAAUUUAAGGUCUAACCUGCCCACUGAAGUUUUAAAUGGCCGUGGUAUUUUGACCGUGCUAAGGUAGCAUAAUCAUUAGUUUUUUAAUUAAGAACUGGAAUGAAAGGUUGGAUAAAAAAAUAACUGUCUCUGUUAAAUUUAAUUAAAAUUUUAUUUUUAAGUAAAAAAGCUUAAGUUUAUUUAAAAGACGAGAAGACCCUAUAGAGUUUUAUUAUUUAAUAAAAAUUAUAUUUUAGUAUUUAUUUAUUUAUUUUAUUUAAUAAUUUAAUUGGGGUGAUUGAAAAAUUUAAUAAACUUUUUUUAUUUAAUAACAUUAAUUAAUGAUAAAAUGAUCCAAUAUUUUUGAUUAUAAGAUAAAAUUACCUUAGGGAUAACAGCGUAAUUUUUUUAUAAAGUUCAUAUUAAAAGAAAAGAUUGCGACCUCGAUGUUGGAUUAAAAUAAAUUUUUGGUGUAGAAGCUAAAAUAUUAGGUCUGUUCGACCUUUAAAAUUUUA